AUACGGAGGGGGCUAGCGUUGUUCGGAAUUACUGGGCGUAAAGCGCGCGUAGGCGGCUUAUCAAGUUAGGCGUGAAAUCCCCGAGCUUAACUUGGGAAUUGCCUUUGAUACUGGUAUGCUUGAGUCCGGGAGAGGGUAGUGGAAUUCCCAGUGUAGAGGUGAAAUUCGUAGAUAUUGGGAAGAACACCAGUUGCGAAGGCGGCUACCUGGCCCGGUACUGACGCUGAGGUGCGAAAGCGUGGGGAGCAAACAGGAUUAGAAACCCCAGUAGUCC
rnacentral:rRNA from 1 species